AGUGUAGGUAGUACCAAUGUGAAAAUGCUGUGCUGAGUGGUUAUAUUACUACCUUAAAAAAUAAGCAGAAACUCGACGUUUCGAGCGAAGGCCCUUCGUCAAGAGUUAGUAGCAGGGAUCGGGGAAAAUGCACGGGCUUUUAUACUAAGAGUAUGAAAGCAUCACGUGACAAAAAAUAAACCAAUUAGAUGGAUUUAAUAAUAACAAAGUGUAAACAAAAUAUGUAAAUCGCAUUACAGAAUAUAAUAUAAUUAAAAAUAUAAAAAUAAACAGGAAGUUAAGACAAUUACUACAAAAAAUAAUCAAAACAAAACACGAGUGGGAAUAAGGUAAAAGUAAAAGUAAUAAAUAGAAGUUGUCAAUGUCUGCUAUAGACAGGCAAAGACAGAUGGCAUCAUAGACAAAACAGAAGACAUGUCUUCUGGAUUGUCUAUGAUGGCAUUAAACAUAAGAAAAGCGUUCAUUAAUGCCAGAAGGGUGAACAGUGCCAAGUUUGGAUAUGAGGCGCAUUUCAUGUCGUUUGCGGCUAUCGUUGCUUCCAGAAAUGGGACAGAGGGCUCGAAUUAACAUAUCUGAAACACUGUGAUUGCCAUCAUUAAAAUGUCUGGCAACAGGUUGGUUAGCAUCAUUGCCAAUAACUGCACGCCGAUGCUCACCAAACCUUGUCCUUAAACAUCUUCCAGUUUCCCCAAUGUAAAGCAUGCCACAUCUGCUGCAAGAGAUGCAGUAGAUGAGAUGGGAGGAGGCGCACGUGAAAUGGUGCUUGAUGUGAAAUUCAGAUUUAGGUGCCGAAACAAUAGUGGUGGAAUCUAUAAAAUCACAGGUUUUACAUUUCGACGACAGGCAAGGAAAAGUGCCUUUCUGUGACGUCGAAGCCUGUGUUAGGGAGCUAUGGACAAGGGUUUCACGGAUAUUUUUGCUGUGUCGAAAAGAGACUAAGGGGUUAUCGGAGAAAAUGGAAGAUGUUUCAGGGUUCGUUUUUCAAAAUAUGGAAAUUCUUGUUGAUGACAUCUCUAACUUUGAAAUUGAAAGGAUGAUAGUUUAAUACUAGGGGGAUUUUGUUGUUGCCUGUGACAUUAGACACAGGGUCUGUGAGGGUGUCAGAACGGGGAAUUUGGGAGGCCUUCGAAAAGGCAGUGUCUAAUAGAGAGGUAGGAUAACCACGCUGGACAAAAAAGUGUCUCAUCUCCAGACUUUUGGCCUGAAAAUCUUCGUCUUCACUGCAGAUGCGGCGAAGACGAAGGAACUGAGAAAAGGGAAUCGACCUUUUGGUGUGUGGUUGGGGUGGGAAGAGGAAAAUAGAAGAUAGCUAUGGGAGUCAGUGGGCUUGUAGAACACAGAAGUAGAUAAUUUGUUACCAUAGAUUGAUACAAAGAUAUCUAAGAAUGAUACACUGGUCUCACUGAUCUCCCAUGUGAACUGGAGUGCUGGAUGAAAAUUAUUAACAAAGUUAAUAAAGCGUUCCAAUUCGACACGAGAACAUGAUGCUGUGCCAAGACAGUCAUCUAUGUACCUACCAAGGUAAUCAGGGAUGGGAUCAGUGUACUGUUCGAAGAUUUGUUUUUCCACAAAACCAACAAACAAAUUAGCAUAGUUGGGUCCCAUUUUAGUUCCCAUUGCUACACCAUUUAUCUGUUGGUAAUGCUCACCAUCAAAGGAAAAAUUGUUGAGGGUAAGCACCAACUCAGCCAAUCGGACCAAAACAGAAGUGGCCGGUUCCUGGUUAGGGCGUUUAUCUAGAAAGAAUUUGAGGGCCCUUAAACCAUCAUGAUGCGGAAUUACAGUGUAUAAGGAUUUGACGUCCAUGGUGAAAAUGAAUUUGUGAGUGCCAUGAAAAUGAAUGUUCUGGAGAAUUUGAAGAGCAUGCUUG
rnacentral:lncRNA from 1 species